rnacentral:rRNA from 1 species
GGUUAAUUUAUGGGCAAAUGGUGGAUGCCUUGGGAGUGGAAGGCGAUGAAGGACGUGGCGUGACUGCGAUAAGCCUCGGGGAGGUGUCUAGCAACCUUUGAUCCGGGGAUUUCCGAAUCCGGUAACGGGGUGGAGAAAAACUCCAUCAUCUCAGCGCCAGCUGAGAGGCGAGACCCGGGGAAGUGAAACAUCUCAGUACCCGGAGGAAAAGAAAAAAAGCUGCGCAAAUUUUUUUGAGAUUUUGAGAUGUUUUGUCUCAAAGUUUCAGCAAUUUUGCGGAGUACAUUCCUUUAGUAGCGGCGAGCGAAAAAGGAAGAGCCUAAACCUUGCUGUUUUUACAGCAGGGGGUAGAUGGACGACAACGGGACUUUAGUCCGGGAAGUAAAAAAAAUCGUUAGAUAGCCGAACAUCUCUGGAAGGGGUGACCAAAGAGGGUGAUAGUCCCUUAGGCGAAAUCUAAUGAUUCUUCCUGGUUGUCUGCCUGUUAAAUGCUGUUUGGGGCAUUUUGCUCAAGACAGCUGUUUAACAGGGGUAAUCCUAAGUACCUCAAGAAAUGGCAGCCUUGAGGGAAGCAGGCUGAACUGUCAGCCAAGGCUAAAUACUAACCACUCACCGAUAGCGAACUAGUACCGUGAGGGAAAGGUGAAAAGCAGGGGGGUGACCCCGGUGAAAUAGUACCUGAAACCAUUUGCUUACAAAGAGUCAGAGCUCACCGCACAUCACUGCGUUUCGGGCGAUAUUCGGAUUUGGAUUUCGAAGUUUGAUGGCAAAAUCAUUUAACUUCUAAAUUCCAACUCUAACAUUUAGCGCGCGGAGCACAGCGAUGUGCGGUGAGUGAUGGCGUACUUUUUGCAGAACGGACCAACGAGUCCGCGUAUUCGGCUUGUUUAAGGGGUUAUGCCCCGAAGACAAAGCGAAAGCGAGUGUGAAAGCGCGUUAACUCCACUCAGUGGGGGGUCGUUUACGCGGGACCCGAAGCCAAGCGAGCUUGCCGUGACCAGGGUGAAUCCCGCCGAAAGGCGAGAGGAGGCCCGAACCCGUGAGCCGUGCAAUACUCUGGGACGAGUUGCGGUAAGAAGUGAAAAGCUAAACGAGCUUGGUAAUAGCUGGUUCUCUCCGAAAUAGCUCUAGGGCUAGCCUUCCGUGAAAAAAUUCUUUUGGGGGUAGAGCACUAAAUGGAAUGUCUUGGAUUUUCCGGACAUUCCAAUUAAACUCCGAAUACCAAAAGAAUCAGCGGGAGAGUAAGACUGUGGGGGAUAAGCUCCAUAGUCAAAAGGGGAACAGCCCAGACCACCAUCUAAGGUCCCUAAAUUUGGACUAAGUGUAGUAAGGAAGUGUUUUGGCUUUGACAGGCAGGAAGUUAGCUUAGAGGUAGCUAUCUUUUAAAGAGUGUGUAAUAACUCACUGCCCUACUUUGCCAGAGCGCACCGAAGAUUUAGGGGGCUCAAGUCCAAUACCGAAGAUGUGGAUUGCCGCUUAACGGCGGCAGUGGUAGGAGAGCGUCUCUAUUGCGCUGAAGUUUCGAUGCAAAUCGGAAUGGAGCAAUAGGGAGUGAGAAUGUUGGUAUGAGUAACCACAAUCCCGAUGAAAGUUCGGGACGCCGAAAGCCUAAGGUUUCCUUGGCAAUGACAAUCAGCCAAGGGUGAGGCGGCCCUAAUCUUUAACCCGAAAGGGUUAAGGAGAUGGACAGCCGGUUAAUAUUCCGGCCCUCCUUUAUUCCUAUUCUAAAAAACGACGAAGUUUAGUAGUCCGGGCAGGUUAUUGGAUUCCUGUCUCUCGCUUGAGCGCAAGCAAGGGCGGGAGGGAAGUCGGGUUUCGGCCCGGCGAACUCGGAUAAGCAAGCUUCCGGGAAAAGUUUUUUAGAAAUUAAUGGGUAAAGGAUCCGUACCGAAAACCGACACAGGUGGGCGGGCAUAAGUGUGCUCAGGCGAACGGGCGAAAACUGGUUAAGGAACUAGGCAAAAAAGUGUUCGUAAGUUCGCGAGAAGAACUCCCUUUCUUCAGGAAAGGGUGCAACAAACGAUCUCUUGGCGACUGUUUACCAAACACACAGGUCCCUGCUUAACUCGUAAGAGGAUGUAUAGGGGCUGAGGCCUGACCAGUGCUGGAGUGUCAAAGUUGGCGGUUGCUUUGCGCAAGCGGAGCAGCUGACUGAAUUAAGCCUCCAGUAAACGUCGGCGAUAACUCUGAUCGUCCAAAGGUAGCGUAAUCCCUUGCCGUGUAAGUUACGGCCCGCAUGAAAGGCUUCACGACUGAGAGACUGUCUCAACCAGUUGCCCGGUGAAAAUGCAAUACCCGUGAAGAUGCGGGUUACCUGCGGCUAGACGGAAAGACCCCGGGAGGUUUACUGCAGGCUCUUAUUGGAUUAUUAGUUAAGAUGCGUAGCGUAGUGGGGAGGCGUUGAAGUCUCGCUUUCGGGCGAGAUGGAGCCGACAAUGAAACACCCAUCUUCUUGACUGAUAAUUCUAACCUCUGCCCCAGGGCGGGGAGACAGUGAGAGUCAGGCAGUUUAAGUGGGGCGCUUUUCUCCUAAAAAGUAACGGAGAAGUUUAAAGGUCGGCUAAGAACGGAUGGAAAUCGUUCUUGUCCUGCAAAGGGAAAUGCCGGCUUUACUGCAAGACGGACAUGUCGCGCAGUUGCGAAAGCAGAACUUAGUGAACCGACUCUGGUUAGCAGAACCGGAGAAGAUAAUCGGCUAAAAGUUACCCCGGGGAUAACAGGCUAGUAGAGCCCGAGAGUCCAUAUCGACGGCUCUGUUCGGCACCUCGAUGUCGGCUCAUCACAUCCUGGGGGUGGAGAAGCUCCCAAGGGUUUGACUGUUCGUCAAUUAAAGUGAUACGUGAGCUGGGUUCAGUACGUCGUGAGACAGUACGGACCCUAUCUACCGCAGGCGCCGAGUCUUGAGGGAGGUUGUGCGUAGUACGAGAGGACCCGCACGAGCCAACCGCUGGUGUACCAGUUGUCCUGCCAAGGGCACCGCUGGGUAGCUAAGUUGGUUCGGGAUAAACGCUGAAAGCAUCUAAGCGUGAAGCCCAUCCCAAGAUGAGGACUCCUUGAUCGGUUGAAGACGACAACCUUGAUAGGCUCCAGGUGUAAGCGCGGUAACGCGUUGAGCCGAGGAGUACUAAUCGAUCAUG